CAAAAAAAAAAAAGAGUGAAAAGAAAAUUUUGAAAAAGUGCUCUAUUUAUGAGUAUAUUUUUGUCUCUCUCUCUCUCUCUCUCUCUCU
rnacentral:ribozyme from 1 species